UUUUAGGAUUAAGGAUUCGCUUGCCACUGUAGCAGCAUUAUUUAAAUUCAAUCAACUUCUCGAAGGCCUCGUCUGUCAUCACGCGAUCUUGAUGGCAAGAAUUUUACAAGCUUGUUUCUGUUAGCUGUGCUAAACUUGGAUUUUUGAUUGAACUAGGAGAAACGGACUGCACCAAUUUGAUCAGCUAAUCAGUUGUUAAUCAUGGGCAACGGACCGAGUGAUCACUGCGGUCCUUUUAGUCCUCAAAUUACACUCAGACCUGAUGACAUUUCGGAAAUAGAGUCUACUGUCUUGCCACAAAUAUCUCUCCUUAGUGCCACAGAACAGGAUCAUAUAAAAAAUGUACUUGCUCGACAAAAAGAAGAGGACCAAAACCUCCACAAACAUCUGACGAGCUUAUCUGAUGAGAUAUCGUGCAUGAAGAAACAAAUAAAGAAGAGCAACAACAAUUUGGACUCUUGUCCUUUGUGCCGAUUUUCACUUGAUACCCCAAGCAGGUGCGCGCUUUGUCAGAAAGUUUUCUGUGAGUUUUGUUGUACUCACCGUUUCUUGAAAGGUGACAACCCAAAAAACAUCUGCUUAGCAUGCUGGAAGAGUACAAUGCUCAUGAACAAUUCGUGUGCUUGGGAAUCAAGUCCUGCGCUACCUGUUAAGAAGAUCCCACGGCCUCACUCGAGCGAGCGGCCAUCACUCAGUCCUGGUGGUACUUUUGGAGCCAGAUCUUUCGUUCUGGAACAUCAAAAACCUUUCGAGGCAUCAGGCAGUCAAAAACGAUCAUUCCCUGUGAACGUGUUUUCCAAAACUAAACAAAUCGUCAAACUGCCCCUGAGAAGACACGAUCAGUUCCACCAAAUGAUGGAUAGUAGUAGCACUGCCAUGGAGCUUCCUUCUAAACCUUCCAACCCCAUUAAAAUGAAGGUAGGAUUCUAUCUGGAAGACGAUCGCCUGACUGUCAAAGUCUGUGAAGCUGUCAACAUUCAUUAUGCAGAUGGGGCACCUUGCUUUGCAUCCUUAACAUCAACUUCGAACAAAUGCCUGGCUAUGACGUACUACAGCAAGGUCCAGUCCAGAUCGUGUCAUUGGAACACGUUUUCAGUGGUGGAGGAGGACGGGGUUGCUUUGAUGGAACAGGAGGAUUUCAGCUUCCCACUCAUAAUAAGACUCACUUGCAAGACUCAGUCUGCCAACAUUGUCCUGGGUGAAAAAAGACUCAACAUAACAUGGUUAGACAUCAACAAAGCUCGUUGGUACGUGUUGGAAAAGCCCCAGUACUCGAUGCCAUCUUCACCAAUAGACUAUCACAAUAUUCCCCACCCAACAUCAAAGGAGACAGUGAAUCUUCGUCGCGAUGCAGCUCUAAAAGGAAGUUCAAUCAAGAGAUCUAAAAAGCUCAUAAAGAUUCACAAACAAUUUGGCGGAUCUAACGAUUCUUACAAGUCAAAUAAAAGCGAUGAUGCUAAUUCGAUCAAGAGAAAAGAUAAAGACCCUUUGGGCAAGAUGCAGUAUAAAAAGUCUGUCAGCAAGCCUAGGUUGUUUCGCCAGAGCAUCAAAGGGAGCGUAAAAAAGUUCAAAAACAAAGAACAGAACGACAAAAAAGAAACUCAAAGAAUCAGCAUAUGGAAUCAGCAAGAGAAACCCUCCAGUUUUACUAACAGGAAAACCAAAAGCUUACACCUUCCUAAAAGAAAACAGAGUAAUAAUUUGUUAGACGCUCCAGCUAUGAGUCGGAAAAAUAAGGUUUACAGACAGUUUUCUUUCUCUGGGAACAGUUCUGUUUCCUCCAUGGAAUCCAAACCAUUCUCGGUCGUAUCAACAGCGUCAAUAAAACAAGAAUCGCGAUCAAGCUGCAGCCGAUCUAAAAAAGCGGAAAGAAAAUCACCCAAGGAUUAUCAAAUCGAAAAAGAUAAGGAUCAGCCAAGUCCGUUGAAACAAAAUGUGCCAGUGAUGCCCACGGCCUCACCCUCCAAACGAAGAUCCAGUGGUUGCUCCAACACAUCUUUAUACGGACUCAGUCCGAAAAAUAUUCCAUAUAAACGUAGACGAAGCAGCUUUAUAGAGGCCGUGUUAGCAGAGAUCGUGGAGCCGGAAAGAAUCUGGACAGAACUAGAAAACCAGGUCAACUAUCCCUGUGACCCGACUCUACACAAAAAGGUGUCGGUUAUUGAACAGUUGAUAAACGAAAGACGUGCCUGCAAUGCCAGGAAAAACAGAGCAUCUGCAGACGCGUCCCAAGAAAACAGUACAUCUACUCGGAGUACGCCCGCGUUUAGGCAGACCAAGUCCCAGUCUAUGGUGGAUAUCCGGUCUUAUCCUCACUUCAGCAAAGAGAGGGUCCUCAAGACUCCUCUGAAGCAGCCGACUGCACGGGAUGUGCGCUUCCAGAAGAGGUUACCUCCAGACGGUGAAGACUUUAACCUGACCAUGAGGACCCCAGAAAUCAAACACCCUCAAAAACCAGGCGGGGCUGAGGUCGGUUGGAUCUGUCUAUCUGUGAAAUGGGGAUAUGGUGGACGCAUUGAGCGUGCCCCAGUGUGUCCAGGUGAAAGUGUCCCUGAAGAGCAGUCGGAGAGAGGUCAUAUGUAGAACAAGGCACAGAAUCAGGCUGCGCGGGGACGAGACUCCGGUUAAUAAAAAGAUUUGUUUCGAUCAGAAUCAGCUAAAUACGGUGCUUAAAGUCUCAUGCAAGUUCAGUUGGUGGCGUCGAGCAGAGCUGCUGAUCCCUCUCGACCAAGCAGACAAGACAGCCCUCGGUCAGGGAGCCUGGUUCAGUCUCAACCCCGUCUCCUUCUUUAGAACUCCCUUUAAGAAGGGCGAGUAUGACGUGUUUGAUGGUCUUUUGGAUAACACUAGUAUCAGCUUGCAGUUACCGUGACAAAAGGAAUUUUAGGAAACAGACUGCAUUAGGUUUACAAUUUUCAGACGAGUAUUUGUGAAAUUAUUUUAUCGCUUUUUCGCCAUUUUUUUGGUGUGAUUCGAUUUCAUUUAUUUUAAAUUUAAUUAUUAAUUUUUUUAACAAUUCAGAUUUGCUAUUUGCUUUCAAUGUGAUUGUUUUUAAAAUUUGGCCGCAGCCAACAAGGAACAUUUAUUUUGAUUUUGCAAUUUAAAUUCGUUUCGUUUAAUCGAGAAAAAUCACGAUUCAGACCUUCCCAUAACAAUUCAUGAUCCUAAUUACGCCAUUUUAAAAUGAGUUAUUUAUUUAUAUCAAACAAAAUAUCAUGUUCGAGUGGAAUGACUAAAAAAUUAAAAAUGUUAACAAUGUUAAAAAUGUUUUGGCAAAACAUCUUUAGUCAAAGUGAUUUAAAGUGUGAGAUGACAUGUUUAAAUCAUAAAAAUUAACUUAGAACAUGUUAUUGAUUCUUUAGUCUAAUCAAUCAGACAAAAUGCGGAAAUGUGAAAUUUUUAAAAAGUUAAAACAAUUAUAUUUAUAUUCACGAACCGCUAUUCGCUCUAGGAUUGUCACAUUACAAUCACACUACUUGAAUAUCUGUUUACCGUUACAUCCACAUAUUAUUUUGAAGCUUUUAAGCUUAAUGUAGUGUGUGAAAUUUAUUUUUGUUAUAAUAAACUACCAGUAAAGGUUUUUAGUAG